UUUUUUCCUUCAAAUGCACUUGCUACAGAUUUUCAACAAAUACUAGCACAGCACAUGAUGGAAUACAACAGAACUCGAAGCAGCAGCAUGCUGUCUGUGGUGAAGAGUCGAGUGUCUGACGUAAAAAGUGUUAUGUUGAGAAACAUGGACGCAGUCCUAGAAAGAGAAACGGAAACAGUGAGUGUCCUCACUGAAGAGGCAGAUGACCCCCAGGCGACUGUAAGUGAUCUCCGGGUGUGCUGAGUUCCAGGAAGUACAGUCAGAGUUGCUGCCCUGGACACAGUCUGCUCUAGGCAAAGACACACAAGGCUAUUGUGAGAUAAGACCCAAAAAGAAAGAAAAGGGAUCGCCAUCAAAUUAUUAAAGAGUAAGGUCAGGCCUGUGAGCUGGCUCCCGGGUACUUGCUUCCAAG
rnacentral:lncRNA from 1 species